GGUCAUACUCUAGAUUGGCUAAUGUGGUCAUACUCUAGGUAGAUUGGCUAGGUAGAUUGGCUAAUGUGGUCAUACUCUAGAUUGGCUAAUGUGGUCAUACUCUAGGUAGAUUGGCUAGGCAGAUUGGCUAAUGUGGUCAUACUCUAGGUAGAUUUCUUCUUGUGGCCUUGCUCAUAAGUAAAUAACCUAAGGAUUUCCCUAUUUUGGCCCAGAGUCGAACAGCACGCUUUUUUGUGCGUUGAAGAAUCUACUGACGCAACAGCUGAUAUUACAUAACAUUGACACAGACACUGAUGAAUUAAUGCACUGGGAUAAUUUAUAAACAAUUAUAAUUUUUCUGAAAGAAUUUAUGUUUGUUUUUACAUUCAACAUCACGUUAUUGCGUUACAUUACGUUAUUA
ensembl:lncRNA